CCUACGGGAGGCAGCAGUGAGGAAUAUUGGUCAAUGGGCGCGAGCCUGAACCAGCCACGUCGCGUGAAGGAUGACUGCCCUACGGGUUGUAAACUUCUUUUAUAAGGGAAUAAAGUGCGGCACGUGUGCCUUUUUGUAUGUACUUUAUGAAUAAGGAUCGGCUAACUCCGUGCCAGCAGCCGCGGUAAUACGGAGGAUCCGAGCGUUAUCCGGAUUUAUUGGGUUUAAAGGGAGCGGAGACGGGUGGUUAAGUCAGUUGUGAAAGUUGGCGGCUAAACCGUAAAAUUGCAAUUGAUACUGGGAGGCUUGAGUGCAGGUGAGGUAGGCGGAAUUCGUGGUGUAGCGGUGAAAUGCUUAGAUAUCACGAAGAACUCCGAUUGCGAAGGCAGCUUACUAAACUGCCACUGACAUUGAUGCUCGAAAGUGUGGGUAUCAAACAGGAUUAGAUACCCUUGUAGUC
rnacentral:rRNA from 1 species